rnacentral:rRNA from 1 species
UAUUGGUCAAUGGACGAAAGUCUGACGGAGCAACGCCGCGUGAGUGAUGAAGGUUUUCGGAUCGUAAAACUCUGUUGUUAGGGAAGAACAAGUAACGUUCGCAUAGGGCGGUACCUUGACGGUACCUAACCAGCAAGCCACGGCUAACUACGUGCCAGCAGCCGCGGUAAUACGUAGGUGGCAAGCGUUGUCCGGAAUUAUUGGGCGUAAAGCGCGCGCAGGCGGUUUCUUAAGUCUGAUGUUAAAGCCCCCGGCUCAACCGGGGAGGGUCAUUGGAAACUGGGGAACUUGAGUGCAGAAGAGGAGAGUGGAAUUCCACGUGUAGCGGUGAAAUGCGUAGAGAUGUGGAGGAACACCAGUGGCGAAGGCGACUCUCUGGUCUGUAACUGACGCUGAGGCGCGAAAGCGUGGGGAGCGAACAGG